UACGUAGGGGGCAAGCGUUGUCCGGAAUCAUUGGGCGUAAAGAGCGUGUAGGCGGCUCGGUAAGUCCGCUGUGAAAUCUCGAGGCUCAACUUCGAGCUGUCGGUGGAAACUGUCUGGCUAGAGUCCGGAAGAGGAGAAUGGAAUUCCUGGUGUAGCGGUGAAAUGCGCAGAUAUCAGGAAGAACACCCGUGGCGAAGGCGGUUCUCUGGGACGGUACUGACGCUGAGACGCGAAAGCGUGGGGAGCGAACAGG
rnacentral:rRNA from 1 species